rnacentral:rRNA from 1 species
GAUGAACGCUAGCGGCAGGCCUAACACAUGCAAGUCGAGGGGCAGCAUAAAAUAAACUUGUUUAUUUGGUGGCGACCGGCGCACGGGUGCGUAACGCGUAUGCAACCUACCUUAUACUGGGGAAUAGCCCGAAGAAAUUCGGAUUAAUGCCCCAUAGUACUGAGACCUCUCCUGAGGAUUCAGUUAAAGCUUUGGCGGUAUAAGAUGGGCAUGCGUCCAAUUAGCUAGAUGGUGAGGUAACGGCUCACCAUGGCGACGAUUGGUAGGGGGCCUGAGAGGGUGGUCACCCACACUGGUACUGAGACACGGACCAGACUCCUACGGGAGGCAGCAGUGAGGAAUAUUGGUCAAUGGGCGCAAGCCUGAACCAGCCAUGCCGCGUGAAGGAUGAAGGUUCUAUGGAUUGUAAACUUCUUUUAUUUGGGAAUAAACCUCUUUACGUGUAGAGAGCUGAAGGUACCAAAUGAAUAAGCACCGGCUAACUCCGUGCCAGCCGCCGCCGUAAGAC